GUGCUCCGCCUCCGCGGCGGCGCCAAGAAGCGCAAGAAGAAGACCUACACCAAGCCCAAGAAGCAAAAGCACAAGCACAAGAAGGUGAAGCUCGCCGUCCUCCAGUUCUACAAGGUCGACGACGCCACCGGCAAGGUCACCAGGCUCAGGAAGGAGUGCCCGAACGCCGACUGCGGCGCCGGCACCUUCAUGGCCAACCACUUCGACCGCCACUACUGCGGCAAGUGCGGCCUCACCUACGUCUACAACCAGAAGGCUUAGAGGUGGCUUGCGUUUGCUCUGCUCUUUUACCUACCUACCUAUCGAGAGUCGAACUCAUUUAGAUGUGUCCCGUUUGUCGUUUAAACUGAAUCCUUGAGUAUCAUGUUUCCUGAAUAUUUCAUCGCCUACUGCUGUUAUGCGAUGCGUGCUUAAAUUUUGGUGUCCGUAUGCUAUCAGUCUAAAUGCUUUUAAUCCAUUCCAUGUCGGCUAUCUUAUUCUAUGCUUUGUUGAUCUUAAUAAGGUGGUGCGAUCACGAGACAUGUUGAUGCAUGGGUUCUUCAGCUUAUAACCCAUUAUUGCAGGUGUUUCUAGAUUAGCCAAUAGCUAUGCAGGUCUUACAUGUGGAUGAAUAUUUUGCUAUUGCUGUUUUGUUAUGUGUUGAUUCUUUGAGGUGUGUGAUCUUUAUCACUUGCAAUUAGAAUUCAGUUCAUUCCAAGCGGUUGUGUGGUUGGUUUGUUCUACGUAUCUGUUUUAGUUCAUACCUAGAUGUGCCUGAAACUGUGAAUAUAUGUAGUCAGUUACCUUUGGCUAUAGACAGUGGCAGUGCGAUGAUUGCUAGUGUGGAGCAUAGUUCUGCCUUGUGGUUUAGCCAUCAGUUUUGUGUGUGUUAACCAUUCACCAUUGCCUACCUUCGGUGGUAAUAUUGGUUGGGUCUAUUGUGCCAUAUGUCUAUCGGUUUACAGUUGUAGAUGUAGGUGAGUUUUGCUGUCCUCUUGAGAUGUGAUGAGGCAUCAGUCUCUCACAUAAGCUGUAGAUCUGUACUCCCUCUCUGUAAAGAAAUGUAAGAGCGUUUAGUGAUGUAAAUAGAUGCUCUUAUAUUUGUUUACGGAGGUACCAGUAGUUUACAAUUGCCGACGUAAUCAGUGAACUGGUUCAGUAUCUCGGUAUGUUUAGCCAAUUCCAUUUCAGAAUUGGCCCAACGCUGCAUAAGCAACAGUGGCAUUGCUGUUUAUGCCCUGCCAAUGGCCCUGUAGCUGGGAUUUAGUACUGAUGUUGUUUGCGGAUGAAACAUGUGACUGAAAUUUUCACGUCUCUGUCUCCGUGCAAGCCUAGGGGGCUUGUUUGUAUACAAGCCUGUAGCAUGAAGUUGUAGCUAAGAGUGCUUCUGGAUUGUGGUCGUGCAAUUUCAUGAACUGUGAUCAGCGGCAGCGUUGCUAAACCAGCGAGAACCCAGUUCGGAUGUGUUUGGUUGGGAAAAGGCGCAGCGGCAGCGUCUCUCUUAUCGAGGUCCUGGACGCCUUGCCGCAGUGCUGCCUGUUCAUGCCCUUGUGCUGUGCCGUUGUUGAGUUUUCCUCUCACGGCCAUACCGAGGGCGACAUGUGGCACCCAAAAUCCAUUCGCUGGCACAGAGAUGAAAUAAGGUUAAGAGAAGCUCGUAGUGGGGUGUUGAGGAGCUUGUAGCUCCCAGAAAUCAAAGAAGCGAGAGUUGACUAUAAAUACAUAUGCACGCCAACCAAUUCACUGCACCUAAUCUCACUAUGCCUCCCUCAUCGAGCUCACCAUUCCCCUUUUCUCUCGUUACGCAUUCGACCUGGGGAUGCGUCGCUACUACGCCCAUGACCUACCAUGUACUAACUCGCCAUUGGCUGUCUCGCAAAGCUUGUCGUCCUGAGCACCAGAGCCGCCAAGCACGCAAAACUUGUCCCGCCUCCCCUUGCUCGAUCGUUGUCUCGUCGACGCCUUGGUGCAUCGCUUUAUGCCUGGAAUGAGACCGUGACAUUGAACUAAGGCAUUUGGGGUGCAAUCGCCACCAUCCCUAACUCGGUCAGAUCUAAGCCGAAUGAGCUGCCAGCCCGUGCUAGUGCUCUGGUUUUUUAACGGGAUGUUGGGCAGAGGAGUUGAGGAUCCGAGGGAUCCAGAGGGUUACCGAACAUGCACUUAUUUUUUUAGGGGAACUUGCAACUUUAUUUAAAUUAAGCAAAGGUUGGGACCUCGUCCGCUACAAUAUAAAUAAUGCAGUCUGGAGGAAAAUCAAAAUAAAUCGUAAUCAUUGCACGCCCUCUCUCUAGCUAAACCAUGCGCCGCACCAUUUGCAGAGUGCCGAACCCAUGAGAUUUUGAACUCCUGCGAGUUCUCAAAAGCUCCUUAAUCUCCUCCACAACCGGGCCAAACGUCGAAAGGUUCUUGCCUUCUCCUUGAAGCAUCGCCACCACCUCCUGACUAUCCAGCUCGACAUGGAGUCGUUGCACGUCCAUAGUAAUCGCCAUUUGCACGGCGCUUUUCGCUGCAAGAAUCUCCGAGAGCUGGGGGUGGCCGGCACCUGGGAAGCAGAUCGCAGCUCCUCCCCUAAAAGCACCAUGGUGAUCCCUGAGAACCACUCCUCCCCCCUUGUCGUCCGUUCGGGCCGUCGCUCCAUCCGCAUUUGCCUUGGUCCAUCCCGGCUCCGGUGGAAGCCACCUUUCCGGUCGCCUUGGCUCCUUGAUCGACCCCUCCUUGGAGUGAACUAGACGCCAUUCCUGGAUAUAACAGUGAACUUUCUCUGCCAACUCUCGAGCAUCUUGGAUCCUUCUCCCGUCCCUAGCAUCAUUUCUUGCGCACCAAAUACCAUACAGAGCCUGGACCAUCAUUUCGCGUUUAGCCCCGCUCGCUUCCGCAAACCAGGCCUUGAGCCACGCCACCAGGCCAGUCAGAGAACCGUCCAUCGCCGGCGGCCUGACAACAGGCUCCCCCUUGUUCUCGCACAAAUAUUUCUAGAAGAGCUCGGAGUGGGGGCACGCCCAAAAGCGAUGGUAUAAGGUUUCUUCCCUGCCACAAGCGCAACAGAACACACCCGGUUUGAUUCGUCUACGGUGCAGUUCGGUUCCGACAGCUAGGCCAUUCUUCAGCAACCUCCAAGUAUGAAUCUUGGCCUUCCCCGGCGCAUUAGUGUCCCAUAAAGCGAGCCAAGCCUUGUGCUCCUUGCUGGGCAUCGACGAUCCCGACUGUCCGGUUUUCACGUCCCGUAAGCUCAUGCCGAAGUGGUAGGCGGACUUGACAGUGAACUCGCUCCUUCUUGGUGAAGUUCCAUGCAAUAUAAUCUUGCAUGUUCGCCCCCCCCCACCACCACCACAAUAUGCUUGAUAUCCUCAACGUCUCCCGGUGAAAACAUCAUCUCCAGCUUCUCCAUAUCCCAUGCACUUAUUAUUUCGUAGUCAUUUUUCAUUGCGAAGCGAUAUGAGAUGGCAACAUCUUAUGUUACUCAAUUUGUCUCUCUCUUUAACUACUUACCACAUCAUCUUUUUGCCUAUAUAAAUACCUACAAUCAUUUAAUAAAAGAUUAAUUGCUAUUUCAUUUUACAUCUUCGUCGAUCGUCCCUUGUUUACUUUGGGUCAUAAAUGACUAUAAAUCGUCCUUGGUGGCAACGUUCGCCCAUCCUCCCCUUCUCUUGGCGUGCGCCACUUGAAUGCGGCGUCUUCCCAUGAUCUGAUCCAGCAACGCUCGCAUAGUAAGUUUAGCUCAAUGAUAGAAUCACACACUUGAUAAAAAAUGGCAUACCUCCAAACUUACAAGUUUUCUAGGCCGUGUCUUCCCUCUCUCUAUGCAAUCUCUCUUCCACGCUGCUCCACCUUUGGUUCCCCGGUUGCUCUUUGUCCUAGAUGAUGAAGUGUUGUUGAACCGUUGAUAUGAUACAUGUGGAUACGGUAGAGGGGUCGUGCUUUCGACUCUCGAUCGAGGAAAAAUUCUUGUAGCUGGGAGGUAAUACCUAGCUACGGGAAUUUGCACAUCUUCAUCUCUCUUUGUGUUGGUUAGAUCGAUCUUGUCCAUUCAUUUUCAUAAUGUUCUUGGGUGUGUUAGUAUGGUAUUUUUUUUGCUUUGUACCAUGUUCUCCAACAUAGUCUGGUCCCAAAAUUGUAUAUAAUCAGUAUGACCCUCAACAAUUUAGGCCAACCAUAGUAGACUUUUACUUUCCAAAUACAUAUGGCCCCAAAAUGGAUCGAAAUUAAAUGGGCCAAACAACAUGAGAUGACCCAGUAAAUUGUAAUAGGCCUCUGUUGGGCCAACACUUCCUUAAUGGCUAGGAUGACAAGUUGACUAACGACACCAUCACUACGCCAUUAAUAGCGGCUGCCACGUGCCAGUCUUCUGCCAUGUCAACCUCACUCGGGACAAAAACACUUCCAUGUCACGCCAUUUUUUCUCAUGGAAAAGCACACUUCAAUAACAAAAACCGAGUUUUGUCAUUGAAGUGAUCUAUGACCGACAUAGUAUGGCAUCUACACUCUAUCAUAGAUUUGUCAUGAAUGCACAUCGAUGACAAAAACCCGCACCUUCUAUCAUGAAGGUGUAUUGUCAUGGAUGUAUUUUUUUAGUGUAGUGGAUAUAUGGCAUCAAUGCUCUAAAGUCUCAUGUCAGUUUAUGUGAUGUUGUGGGGCCAACGUUGGGGUUGCCGUGUCACUGUAGGGAUGACAUUCCUGGUCAGAUCCGGGCCCUUGAUCAACCCCUAGACUCCUAUGGUCUUACCGCUGAAGAGUGCUUCAGCGGUGUGCCUUGAGGUCUCCCUUAUGGAAAUCUACAAGGGUGAGGAGAUAUUCUAGCAACAACGGAGCCGGCAGAAUUGGCUACUGAAGGGUGAUGCCAACACCACCUACUUUCAUGCCAUUGUGAAUGGGAGAAGGUGAAAGAAAGUGCUCCAUCUCGUUUGGACGGUGCCCUCCUAGAGGAAUCCAAGGACAUUUUCACCCACAUUUACUCCUUCUACAAGGAGCUCUUCUGGGUAGGUCAACGACUACUGGCAUGAGGGGGGCAAGGUCUCAGCCACUGAGAAUGUGGAUCUCACCUUCUCAUUCUUGACCGAGGAGGCCAGUCGAGCUAUCAUGGAGACGAAGGUACCCUUAUCUUUAACCUUGUAGUUGAUGUUGUCCAGUUAUCUUGGAGAAGGCCAAGAUAUAUAGUUACAUCUCUGGUGUGGUUGGGAAAAUUGUCCCAAGCAGGGUAUCACCUCAAGUUCAUGGUAACACCUUGAUCAUGGUAGAAGGAAUGGAACCUGUCAUUGUCUACCUCAAAGUCCCUCGUAUACUUUGAGGCUAUGCGUCGUCUCAGGAUGAACUUCAGAAGAGGGAAGUGGUGGUCACGAGUUACCCUCCCAAGGAUCAACUACAAAUGCAUGACACUUGGAACAAAAGAUAGGCAGAUUGAUUCCAGUGUGAUACAUGCGUGAGUGAUACCUAAAAUUAAAAUGUAAAAUAAAAUUGAAAUAAUACAAACCGUCUAAUUUUCAUGAAGUCAACAUGCGUACACCGGCGUGAAUAUGACAAUGAUGAAUAGAUUAUGCUUCAGUUGGCACUAACUAGCAAUGUUCAUGACUGGUACCUAGAGGCAACAAUGAAACCUAAAAUAUAGGAAAAAGUGUAUGAAAACCCAAACAUACAUGCGACAUGGCAAGAAAGAUUGGCGGCUCAGUUCCAGUGUGGUACAUGCAUAGGUUGUAACAUGACAAGGAAGCAAAACAAUGUUCCACGAUGCAAUAAAAGAAAUAGUUUCAGUUGUGAUAAAGUACUAUGCAAUAAAUCGUUUCUGUUGUGAUAAAAGAUACAAGUCCAACAAAACAAUAUGCGAGUAAUCGGAAAAAAGGAAAUGUUUUCAAAUUUCCUAUUAAUAUACAACAUUUCUUACAGAAACCACUCACCCACCCCCCCUCCACUCUCUCGUCUCGCCGCCGCCAGAGGCUCCGGCCAGCGAAGCUCGGCUGGAUCCGGGGACGGGCACUUCUUCGGCUGGCGCGAGGUGGCAGGGCGAGCUGGCUCUCGUGCGGAUGGGCGGCGGCGGCGGUUGCCGCUGCAGGGCUAGGUAUGGUGUCUCGGCGGUCAGAUCUGGAUGUGGAGGGAGCGGCUAGCUGCUCCGGUGACCUCGGCCUGGUCCGCGAGGUCCAGCUCGCUCGAAUCUGAGGUGGCUCGCUAGCCGGCUCUGGCCCGUAGCUGCGGCUGGGAGGAUGGGGGGCGGGAAGGAGGCGGUCGUUGUGUGGCUCGUGGAGGUGGUUGGGGUGCUGGUCGGCGGGGAUGGGUUUCCUGUUCAGCCAACGUUGGCGUGGAACUCAGAUCUGGCUUUCUUUGAGGGCUGGAGGUGGAAGUGUUCCCGUGGCUGGAGGUGGCGGUGGUAGGGUGUGGCCGGCGGUGAGGGCUUGGGUGCGGGCAGCAGUUCACACCGACCUGACUCCGGCUGUGCAGGUGCUCGAGGUGAGUGUCUAUAUCAUCGGAGCCUUGUGCCCGUCCUAGCGGGGACGCUCGCCAUGGACUGACAGAAGGGUGGGGAGGUCUUGAGCUGCUGGACUCGGCAACCUUCUUCGACGGUGAUGUCUGUGAUGGGAUGCUUCAGGCGAAAGCCUUGUGUCGACCUUGUCGGCAACGAUGAUGGCGCCGCCUUCGGGCGUCGUUUCCCUUCAUUAAGGCAUCAUCGAGAAGCUACUGUUGCCUGCUCAUUCGUGUGUCUCAGGCGAAAGCCUCAGAUCCAUAUCUGGAUCGGACGACGGCGACAUCUUGAUGUCGUUUCUCCCCCUUGGGGGCGUUGUUUUGGGGCCACGAACCGUGUUGGUCGCUUGAUGUCUGGGUUGAAGUGCUUGUUGGGUUGCUGGAGUGCAGGGUGGUGGCGGUGGAAGUGAUCUGUGGCGGCGACAAUUCCUUGGUCAUUCUGGUGCUGAGGGUUGACCUAUCUCCUGGGCCUCGUGGCGACGGUGAGGUCUAGGAGUUUGGUGCCCUUCGACGACGCCUGAGGUUGGGUUGCCUCGCAUAGUGUUCUAGUUCUCUCGGCUCAGAGGAGGUGCAGGGCCGUCUCGGCAGAUCCUUGCCCUUCGGCACGGUCUGCGAUUCUCUCUAUCACGUUGUGGCUAGGCAGUGGGAAUCCCUUCGAUGGCAGCUGCGAUGCUCCUAGUUCUUCAAGGUGCAGAGUGAUCGCAGGGCAGCAGACAGUUCUUCCUCUACGUCUUCUCGGUGUUCAACCUCCUUUCGACUGAUCCAACAAUACUAGUCCCUGCUCUUCUCGGUCUGCCUAGUGGUCAUGGAUGCUAAGCUCUUGGUGUUGGCUGCUUGUCGUAGUUCGUUUCUGGUUCUCUUGUUCCUUCCGCGCGUGUGUGUGUGUGUUGGGUGCUGAUUCUCCUAUGAUGUUCCUUGUUCUUUCUUGUGUGUGUUGGGUGCUACUUGCUGUAGCUGUUGUGUUGUAUCUCCGUCUUUUUAUGAUAAUGAAAAUGGUUCAGGCCGGCGUAAGCCCGCCGUAGCACCGUAAAAAAAACAUUGCCACAAAUGGGCCCACGAAAUAGGCAAACAACAUGCACAAGAUAGAAAAGCAAGCUAAAUGUAUACUCCCUCCGUUUCUAAAUAUAAGUCUUUGUAGAGAUUUCACUAUGGACUAGAUACGGAGCAAAAUGAGUGAAUCUAUACACUAAAGUGCAUCUAUAUUCAUCCAUAUGUGGUUCAUAGUGGAAUUUCUCCAAAGACUUACAUUUAGGAACGGAGGGAGUAGAUGAGAUUGACAAAGAGAGAAUAUUUUGGCAAAAUUGUCGUGAGCAACAAAGCACUCAUGUAGGGAGAAUAGCUAAAAUUAUACUGGUUGUCCUACCCAAGCCAUCCACAUGGACGGUCAACACAAGUCAAAGAGGUUAACAUAAGUCCAAGCAAGCUACCAAGGGUCCAAGCAAGCUAUCUCGCUCAAAUAAGUCAAAACAAGUCUUCAUGGUCAACGAGUCAAAGGAAAUGAGAAAAUAAAAGACCAAGUCGAAGAUGAAGCCAAGGAAGCAAAGAAGCUCAAGCCUAUGAAGAGAAACCUUCAUAAAGUCAAAGGAAUUCUACCUCCCAUGGGUCGCAAUCUUUCUGCAGCCUAAUGGGAGCACGAUUCAUGGACUAAAGAUAGUUUUACCCUCUCACCUCCUCAUCUUAAGGGCAGCCUUGUUCAUUUGUCAAUCACAUCUAGGUUAUAAAUACCCCUAAUGAGCUCGUAACACAUUCACUCCCACUUGAAUAAACUCGAGAGGAGAGUCAUUCCCUCUCCCUCUCCUCAGAACCAAGGUUCGAAAGGGGGUUAGGUUUCGGAGUCCAAGGGAUGUUGUAAGGCUUGGACCCUCAGGAGUCGUGGGGCUGCAGCAACGGCAACGUUCUGAACGAUAGUGUGUCAAGCCCUUUUCCUUGAUGACUGCUCAUAUGACAUAGGUCAUGUUCCCACAAGGCGACUGCAGCUAUUCAAAAAACAUUGUUGUGUUACUUUGUCGAUGUACAAUUACCUUCGUUAUAAGGCCGUACAAUGACCUUCAUUAUAAGACCGUCAUACACUGCUACUUACAUUUCACAAACCCGCUACAAAGGAUACCCCUAGUCAAAAGCUGUUUUCAUAACAACAUGAUGUAAGUAACACGAGCAAAGCCAUACCAUAUGUACAAAGUUAGAAAUAUAUUGCGAAGUGCCACAGCCAGCUUCUGGCACAAUGUAGAGGACAACCUUUACUUUGUCAGACUUGCUCUAUAGCUCCACAUACAAUCGGAAAGUAUGUACAAUUCAAUGCUGUUAAUCACAUCUCAAUGUAGUGUGCACCAACAUCAAAACUACAAGUUGGCAAUCCAUUUUAGUUUAGCGCAGUUCCUUAAAAGAAAGCCCAUAUAUUUCAGCUCACAAGCAGUUUGUCUCCCAGCUCUUUGCGGUAGAAGUGAAUGAGGCCAGCGCUGUCGAUUGUCUGCAACUUAUCCUUCAGUAUCUUCGUGUAGUGGUCAUCCCUGUCCUCCAAGCUUCUCAUCAAUUCAACCUGAUAAGCCAGAAAUACUUCGAAUAUAUCAGAAGCUGUGUGCCCAGAAGAGCGACUUUGAGAAUACAACUGUGUUAGGAUAACUUGUCACGGAUGUAUAACUUGCACCCACCUGUCUCUGGAACGACUCGAAUUCAUCGAAGCUCAGGGAACCAUCGCUGUUUGCAUCAAGGAGAUGCAUGAGCGCCAUCGCAUCCUCGCCCUCGGCACCAAGAUCUUCCAUCACCUCCGUGAGCUCCUCGAUGCUGAUCCUCCCAUCACCAUUUUUGUCUAUAAGGCAGAAAGCCUGGUUCUUGCAUUCACCUCCUCGAUGAUCACUGGCUGGGAGGUCUCGAAGGCGAUGAGCUGCCAGUUCUGCCGCAGCCAACAUAAUAGCCUUGAGUCUUUUAGCCUGGAGAAUAUUCAAGGAAUGCUGAUUCUUAGUCAUGCCCCAAAAAUAAUCUUUCAGUUCAGUCUCAGAAAAGGUAUAAGAAUGCUAAUUUCAAGAUAAAACGAUAUGUCAUGAUGAAAUCAGCAGACAAGUGUAUCAGUUAGGAACAUAAACCAAACCAGGUCACUACCAUCUCAGCUGUGAGCUCUGAACUAACUGUUAUAACCCAGUGAUAAUUUCAGUAAGAAGCCUCAUAUGCUGGAUGAAAUUUAGGUGUAUCUUGUAGCAAGCAGCAUUUUACAUAACUUAUGUCUGUACAUGUUUUGACCCUUGGUUCGAUAAAACAACUUACCUACUAUGUUUUGAAAGAUACCCGAGUGCAUUGAUAAAUCCAGACGAUUCAGUGUACUUCAAAGGAGGAAAGAGAGUUGGAAUUAAGUAGAUGGCUCACCUCUCCAGGAUCCGUAAGACCACCCUUGUAGAGAGAGUGAGACGCUUCUCCACCAAUAGCAAUUCUGUGCAUCUCCUUGGUGCGUAUUUGUAUCUCCAUUAGUGGCCUCGUCUUCCCAGGUUCACUUACAUCGAUUGCCACAUGCAGGCUCUGAUAGCCAUUUCUUUUUGGCUGUGUCACAUAGUCCUUUGUCCUACCUGGCACUUCCUUCAAUAGAGCUCGAAUGAUUUCGUGUGUCCUGUGACAGGCCCUGGGGCCCCAAUCAGAUGAGCCACCAUCGCAUCGAGGGUCCAAGAUUAUCCGUAAACCAAGUAUGUCAUUUACUUCUUCUGGUUUCCGGCCAUCUUUUACUAGCUUCUUCAUAGUACUGAAACGGCUUUUGUACCGCCCUUCAAUUGAGAUGUCCUGCACAAUCUCGUUUAGCUCAUCAUCGGACUUCAGUGCCUGAAGCAACUGCGCCUUGUAGGCAUUUAUCAAGAGCUUGCACUCGGCUUCUCGGUUCCUCAACCAUUGAUCGACAUGGUCAUAUGAAUGAGGAAACAAGUACCUAAAAGAAAGAUCUUCCAACUCUAGCGACAGAUUACCAGCCCCGACAGCAUGAGCAAGUGGAGCAUAUAUCUUCAUUACUUCAAGAGAUUUUACUCGCUGAAGAUGCUUGGGGAGGUACUGAAGGUGUCUCAUCGUAUCAAGCUUCAGAGAAAGCUCCAAGAUUACUGCCCGGAUGUCAUAGUACGAAAGGAAAAACUUUCUCAAUGAGCUCGCACUUUCAUCAUCCAAUACGUCGACUUUCGAAGGAGCAACCUUAAGCCUUAAGCUCUCGUGCAGUAAAUCAGCUAUGCCAGUCCCAAUUUGAGCUUCUACAUCGCUCAUGCUUAUAGUCCCUGCAUCAAGCGCUUUCCUCAAUAUGCCGGCUGAAAUAACUUCCGCGUCCAUCUGCCGUCAUGAAUACAACAAGAAUUCAAAAUCCCUGUUAAACAUGAGAGCUUAAGAGUGGAUAAAUAAGCCCAAUGAUGCUUAACUGCGUUAUCAUACAAAGCAGUGCAAAUAUCUUAUGAAUCACCAUAACCUUACAGGGAAAUGGAGCAAAUAGAAAUUGGUCAAAGAGCCUAAUCGUAAACAUGGGUUAACUUGUGGUGGUUUUUGACAAUUUACUCGUCCAAGAAAGGCUCUGCCCAUCAAUACUGUCAGAUGAUAUUGCCUUCAACUUAUGGUAUAAAUGGGAAUUCAAUGGAAAGUAUGAACCAAACAGUAACGAUCAGUGACAUGAAACUAAAUAAUCAUAUAAGCCUGAGUUUAAUAGUUUGUGUAACUUUAGUGUGACUGAAACAAGGAAUGCCGGUGCCAUGGCAAGAAAACAGAUUUUGCUUUCUAAGUUCUAAUUGUUGUACACAAUAUUAUUCAGUGACUUCUUUCGAUGCAUUCAACAACAGAACACCAAAUGUGUACUGGGAAAUAUAUUUCAGAAAGAGUUCACUUAAUCUGGGUGUCCCUACUCCCUAGCAUUAAAAUGGAUAUCAUUGAAACGGGAAUGAACUUAUGCAUUUAACAGAAUUCGGCAUAUUGAGCUAGCUAUCGUUACUGAAUUAAUGGAAUUCUUGUUUCAAUCCUUCUCAAAUAAAUAAAUAAUUUUGUUUCAAUCUGUAAACCCGAACAUAAAUAAUAAAUAACAUGAACUUGAUCCAGGAACCCACAGUUAACAGGCCAACAAUUAGUAAAUUCUACUUGUUCAAUCAUGCGGACACGAAAGCUCACCCCCAGUCUCCAAAAUCGAACGAUAUAAUCCUAUUUACGCAAACGGAACAGGGGAGGAGGCUCUGGCUCAGCACCUGGAGGUCGGCUAAGGUCGCGGCCACCGCGAGGGCUCGCGUGAGGGCCUGGCCGCCGUCGCCGUCGCGGAGGGCGGGGAGGGCCAGUUUGAGCGCGCGGAAGAGCAGGCGCGACGAGGAGGUGGUGGCCAGGCCCUCUCCCAUCCUACCCGUGAGCUCGUUGAACACGCCCACAAGCUCCGCCACCAGCCUCCCUCCUCCCUCCGGCGGCGGCGUCGCCGGGGCCGAUAGCGACGAGGAGGAGGAGGUGGACGGGGCGGAUGGGGAAGAAAAAGCAACUGAGGCAGGGAGACGCAGUCGGUGCAGGCGACGCGGGUUGGGGCAUGGGCGCAGGCCUAGGUGGUGGCGGUGCUGGUGGCGGCCGGCGGGAACGGCCGCGGCGGUGGUGGCUGCCGUCGCCAUGGGUGGGGCCCGCUCCGGGGAUGGAUUGCAGGCGACGUGGCACUGUGGCAGCCGCUGUGCGGAUAUGUGAUGUGGUGAUUGUGAUGAAGUGGCGACUGGCUCGCGCCUUGCCACGUAGGAUUUGCCAUCUCCGCGCGGGAAGAGACGGGGUUUCGAUAGGAAAACUGAAUUUCUCCGGAAGUCCUUCGUUCAAUACGCAUAAACAUGGGCAAAUGUGCCAGUUUUUUAGCGUUUGUGAGCGAACGUCUACAUUUGUCAUGCGAAAUUAGAUAAAAUUAUAAUGUUGUUGUGUAAGAUUUGCCAUGUCUAAAAUGAAAAUGGCCAUGUAGUGCUGCAUGUCCUCUCGCUAGUUGAGUUAAAAAUUGUGGAACACCUCACGAAUCGAGGGAAAGCAUGUAUGGGAGGCCAGCAAUGUUCAUCCUAUCAUUAAUCUUGCGACACGAUUCAAUCGUCUUCCAGCAUCCAACCUAAAACCGUCGGCGACACCAUAGUGACGGGAUGAAGCUCGCGCUCUUCACACCGUAACCGUAUCUGGUAUGUGCAACAACGUUACUUGCCUCUUCUUUUCAGACAGUUCCUUAUAUAUGUUGCGAACCAUCAUCCUUCUUUCUACCAUUUGUCUCGCCUUUGAUUUCUUGUCAUUCGACAACCAGCUCUCGGACAAUAGCGAGACAAUCCUCUCACUUGCGUUCGUGAUGGACAUGUGUGUGCCGAGAUGAGUUGCUUCUGCUUUGCGGGCAACCCCAAUGACAACACCGGUUAUUUGGUCUUUCUUUUUCAGGCCAAAUAUGUGAUUGAUUGCCCGGUUAUUUGGGUUGCUGUCUGCUGCCCGUUUUUUCUCUAGAUAUAUUGUUCUUGGAGAUUAAAAUUGUGGCAAAAUCUGUAGGUUUGAGGAGAGAGGAAUCCUUGGAGCUCCAUGAGAACACUUUGAGUCAACAAGAGUUGCCGCAUGCUCAUUGCACGACUUCUUGGCAUGUAUGGCGGGAACCACCCCGUGAUUAAGGGCAUCUCCAAUGCCAUGCCGCAAAACGUCCGCAAACGUCUGGAUUGACGCGUGUGGACCAUUUUUGCCAUCCAACAUGGUCCCACAUACAUCAGUGGACCCGUCCGCAUGCCCGAAUUCUUGUAAGACGGAAUCAAAGUUGGGGGAGGUUUGCGGGAGUUCAGACCUCCACCAAGUAGGACUCUGACAAUCCCGACCCACCUAAAAUCCCACCCGUAGCCCGCGCAUUUGGCCACAUUCACACUACUUCCGUGCCAAACCCUGCGCAUUCCCAUCCUAUCUAGCCGAUUGACGCCUCCCUCCACCCUAUUCCUGCCCUUUUGUAGGAUCAGAAAUCGACUAGAAGGGUCGGAGAGGGGUGAAUAGAGAUUUACAAAUUCUUCAUUAAGAAGGAUUUCUUUCCAACAAGCAAAUGAUAAACUAUUCUAAGACGGGAACUUAAUGGAGAUAAGAUUGAGAAAAUAAAUGACUUAGAGGGAAAGCUAAAACAGGCUACUAAGAGAUAUCUAUCACAACAGAAGUUAGAAGAAUAACUAAGUAGCACUAGGGGAAAAACAUGCGGUACAUGCAUACUAAGUAUCGUGAGAGAGAAUACUAACAGAAACAUUGUGAACUAACAUAGAGGGAAAUGCUAUUUAGUUUCAAAGAAAUGAUCAAAGUGAGCAAUCAUAGAGAGGAAUAACUCAACAGAUAGAAAUACUGAAAGUAAAUCAAGUAGAGAGAAAAUCAGUGGUACUCGAUGGCGACAAGUGAUUUGUUCUACCAGUUCACACUUCUGCCAAAGUGGCACGUCUGGUUGGAGGGACUUGUGAUUGAACACAUGAGAAAAUCUCUUUCAGCCUAUUCUCCUCAACAUGAAGAACCUCGAACUUUAGUUGAUUUAUUACUCUCGACACAUUCUUCAAGGUAAACUCCAAACCUUCACAGACUUUAUCCUUGGCAAACCACAAUUACUCUUGGUUGCUCGGACCGACGCCUAAUCGUCUAGUGAGUGUGCAACUCACAACAAUAAUAGGAACAAGCUUCGUAUAGACCUAAUUCUCCGCGAUGCUCAAUCAUGUAACUAAAUUUGGGCCCUGGGGUUUUCUCUUGGUGAAAUCUGACUAUAGAGGGGUUUCUCAGACAAACUCUUGUCAGAUCAGAUGAAGCAGCCAAACGCUGAAGGUUGGGGGUGGGAUGACUAUUUAUAGCCAGAGUAAUUCCAAGGUACGAAAUUACCAAUUGGGGCCCGUGUCAUGCAACGGUCAUCUAACAUGUGUCCAACAGUCGGAUUUCAAAUUCACGCGAUAACUUUACUUAAGGAAUAAGUUAAGCUGACUCUACUGCAUGUGAUUUUCACUCAACGUCCAGAAGAACUUCGUCUAUGACUUAGAGGGAAAACACAACGCCAUGUAGGAUUUUGACGACUUUGCCAUGUAGGAUUAGUCGAGACCCCAGAUAUUAUUCGCUAUUCUUGUCAUGAAAACAAAAUUAACUUCGAUCAAUGGAGAACAUAUGUAGAGUGCCAAAGUAUUUGGUACAAAUAAUUCUUGAUCACAUUUGUUCUGAUGUUUUGGCCACUUUUGCCUCCUCUUCUCCUUCACAUCCUCAUUCAUAUGCAACUUUCCAACCCGUCUUCGGUGACUAUCAUCGCGAAAUUCACGUUCAACCUCUAGUCCACAUCGAACACUUUAUAUCGGUGUUGUCACACCCGACAUCUCCCAUGGCUACCAUUGCCAUAUAUGAAAGCAUUAACCUCUCUCACGGGUAUCACCUAGACAUUAGUCAUUGGGCCUCAUCAUCACUACCUUUGAUGCCAACAAUGAUCUGUCUGCUUCAACCUAAUUGUUUCCUUGUUGCCUCAUGGCGGUCUUGUUUCUAAAACCAAGGUUAAAACAGAACCUCCGACCUAAACAUGAGCCAUGAAACCCUUUCCUCUUUGAUGAGGAGGCAUUGACCCCACCUCUUAGUCUGACCACAUGAUCAAAACAUGUCUUGGUUAAUGAGUAUUAAGAGAAACGACAAGACACCGGCGUUGUCAAAAUCAUUCUACCAUAGGAUUGUGUGACUUUGCAAUCCAAACUGAUUAGAAUAUGGAGCGCGCUAUGCGUCUGCCGGGUGAUGAUUGGAUUGUAUCGUCUGCUACUAUAGUCGUUGGAUGGCAUGCACGACAACUGCCUGAUCUGAUGCAAUAGCGCCUCAACCGUUUGCAACAUGGCUUAUAUUGCGCUCCGGGCCAUGUUGCGCUCCAUCCAAAUGUUUUCUACCAUUGCAAUUAUCUGACCCAGUUUGCAACAUGAGCCAUGUUGCGCUCCCAGGUUGUAACAUGACCCAUGUUGUGCUUGGGGAAAACAUUUGUGGUUGACCACCAUCCUGUUUUCCGCCCCCUUCGCAACCUAAGCGAUGUUAUGCUCGCCGGUUGUAGCAUGACCCAUGUUGUGUAGCCCCUUUGCAAUUCAGAUGAUAUUGCGAAUCCCCUUUGCAACAUGCCCUGUUUGCAAAAUGAGUUAUCUGACCCCGUUUGCAACAUGAGUGAUAUUAUCUUCGCCGGUUGCAACAUAACCUAUGUUCUGAAGCCCCUUUGCAACAUGGACAACAUUCUGAAGCUUGGGAAAAGGAGGGAGAAGGAGGGACAGUUUGGGCAGCAAGCUUGGGAACAUAAAGGGCACUAGUAGUCGAUGGUGCAUUGCCGAGGCGAUGGCUUGCAGCAGCGGACGGUGAUCUGCAUCCCUGUCCUUGCAGCCCUUGCAGCGCCAACCUAGUAGAACCGCUGUGAAUCUUGGCCCUCGUAGCCCCCUGGCAGUCGCCUUGUGCACCAGCAUCAUUCACCCCCGCACCUCCCCAUCUCGUGCCUCCCGACGCCUUUGCAGCACCGGACCCAAUCCUUGCAGCAGUGGGGUGGUUGGGGGCUACCUAUGCCCCUAUGGAGGAAAGGGAUACAAGUAGAAUGAUCUUUCUAAUUAACCAGACUUACAAAGAUAUAAAUUACCAGAAAACUUACAAGGGUUCCUUUCUUCCGGUUGUGUCAAGGAACACCAUUUGCUCCAUUUCCCCAAAAAGAAUGCCGUUUGCUCCACGAUACUAUUUAUAUACAGGUCAACCUAUCGAGUAAGACUUAGCCAAAUCUCAGUCGGUGAUGUCAGCAUAGUUGUGGUGCAACUCGCGACAUGCUGCAAACGACAACGCCAAACGCUGCGAGACAUAUGAUGCAAGCAACGACGACGGACGCUGCAACCGGUGGGACUUCAUGCCGGGACGACAUGAUGCAACUAGCACCGACGGACUCUGUGACUGAUGGGACGACGUGCUAAGCGGUGACGUGCUGCGAUAGCUGUUGGACGGUGCUCAGUUUAGCACUAAUCUCCGCACUAAGAUCCAACAGCGAAGCAGUCGACCGAGACUUAGUCGAUUGAGGAGCAAGUUGCCAUGUUCUUGAUCACAACCUUCGAAAUAGGCUAGUCGGUUAUACAUGGUGCUGACUAAAUAGAUUUAUCGCUCAGCAUACAUUGCUGACUAAGUAGAUUAUCGCUCAACCAUGUAUACACACUACUACUGAAGAACUUCUUCAGAUAAGUAUAAUCUGUUGAUACUUAUUCCGUCUUGCCACGCCCAACACAUUAGUCUGUCAUAUUCAUGAUGCCACUAUAUCAACAAGACAUGACCAGGAAGCUGAGAAAAAUAGCUAUUUCUGAAUCUUUACUUGAGAUCCGCACAUUAAGUACGUUCGACACGACCAAACAAGCAAAUAAACAUAAAAGACGCAGAGACAGAAUCGCAGUGCAAAGCCAACUACAGGCACAUUCGUAAACGCACAUACGAGCAUAAGCAUUUGGCAAAUGUCAAUAUAGGGCGGACGUGCAAUCUAGCUACUCCAUCUUGGAGGCACCAAUAACGGCGACCUUCGCUUCAAUGCAGCAUUUCGUUUUCACGAGAUAACCAUUUGAACAGUCCUUGAAAUCUUCCAGCAAUAUGAACUUGUCCCAUCCCCAACUAGUAGCAUUCUUUGAGAACUCGCACCGGCCUAUCAUUUUCCAAAACAAAAUACGUAGAUAAAUAAAGGUGUCAAUCAGUAAAUGUGAUGAUGAUAAUUUCGCAUCUGAACUCCGGUCCAGAGUGCAAAAAUUUCUGCUAAAGAGCGAACCUUUUUGUCCAUUGUCCUUGCCACUUCCCUGGCUUUUGAUGCGUAUGUCCAAUUCUACCAGGUUCGCGGAGUUCUCAUGGAGUAUAUCCGUCACCUUCAUGGUCAGGAACACGGAGAUAAAGUUUCCAUUCUUAUCGAAUCCAGAUGGAUGGAUGGAGAUGAACCUGAAAAUUAGGGAGCAUCGCAUAGUUUAGUACAUCAUUGAUAAGAAGAGGUGGAACUCCAAGGGUCUUUAUUUUUACUUAUAAAAAGUGAAAUAUGACAAGUCUUUAUGUUCAAAUAUGAAUUUAGUAAAUUCUGUAUAAAUCCAGUAAUUAAGUGGUAACACUAUGAGUCAUGCUAAGCACUGCAAAUUGAAGAUGGUAAGUAAGUAUCACCAUUUGUGUCCAUGGAGCUCAAAAUCUGGAGAGUGGCUCGGGCUUUUCAGCGCAAAGAAGUCGUCGAUGUCCCAGGUGUAGACUUCUGGAAUACUGGAGAUUUUGUUUACCUUCUUCUGAACAAACAGCUUCUCUGUCGCAUCAUUAGUUUGAGCAGCAGUAACUUUGAUAAACUCGACACCGAAAGCACAGCUGUUUUCGACGAGGAAUCCAGAGGACUUUUCCUUCAGUGUGGCGAGGGGGAUCAUGCAUGAUGUCCCAGAGCUUGUGCUUGUAGUCUGAAAAUUGUGGCACACUGCAAACAAAAUAUUCAGUUGUAAUGUCUGUCGCGAAGCAGGUUAUAAGUUACACCAUCAAUCUAGUAUCCGGCUAGCUAGGAAGGUCAAAGAACCUGUUUUUUUUCAGAAAUAAUGGGUACCUUGAGGUUGUUCAUGGUGCUUUCCAUAUAACUGGUCAUAUAUAAAGAACUUGUAAGUUGCCUCCACGACCGUGUCGGAUCUCACGGAUGCUGGCGACAGCUGAAGCCGAAGAGAAACAUAUUCAUUUUGGUCGCCACUCUUGGUGUCCCUUGGGUUCAGUCUCAAGUACCUGCGAAUCAAGUCAAGUGAAAGGUCACCUUAGAAAAGAAAAAUAGUCGAGAUAAAUGAAUAGAAGAAACAAGUGAGAACGAAUUUUGUUCAUGACAUGCUAUGGGGAACAAUAGUAGCAUGUUAAUUGUACCAUCUGAGCCCACUGAUUUCAAACACCCUGGAGAUUGUCCAUCCUUUAUCUAAGUCAAGGAGCGAGGAGAAACCAUCGAUUGUCCACUUGAAGGUUGUCUGCUCCACAGGAGAAGGUGGUGCCUCGACGGCUUUCUGGACCUGUUCCUUCUUUGAAUGGCCUGCGACAGCAGCAAAUUCUUACACAACCAGUACAAUAUCAAAAGAUUGUUAUUUUGGCCAAACAUGAGGUGAAAGGAAAGGCAGAGCAUCUGCUUUUGCAUGGCAUAAUACAUUUAUGUAAGACAAUUCAAUUUUUAUCUGAAUUUUGCUAAUAAAAGGAACAUUCUGAAUCUUGUUUAUAAAAUCAACGAUCUAGACUAAUUCAAGUAAGAAGAAGAAAAGAUGCCCAAAAGAAAGAGUUUACAGCCACUAGAAACAGCAAUGCUUGCAUCAGUAUAGUAGCAUCAAUCAAAAUAACACAAUACAUUAUGCAUAGCAGGCAGGUCUAAUUAUUAAGGAGAAGCAAAGAGAAGCUGAAAACAAAUCCUUACUGCUGGCGCCAGUAACACACGAGUUCCCCAUAGCUCUUGCACUUGCUCUCCCCAGGAUUCCUGUGCAAUCGAAAUCAAUCACCAAAUCACCAUGCCAUAAAUCAACAACAUAUAAUUGAGACUUAAGAGCAUACAGAGCAGUGCACACUAAUUUGAAGGAAAAUAAACUUGAAAAUAUUCAUGUUUAUUUUGGCUGUGUGCAUCAUGAUGAUGGGUUCUCCCCUUUUUGAAAAAAAACAUGAUCAUAUUCCUAGUGGGUGCAGAUCUCAACCAAACAAUUACCGAGGAAAAAAGGAAACGACCAAGAGAUGCAAAAACUGAAACGAAAAACAGCAGCACUUCGACCACGAUAGGUGAAAACCUACAUCAAGAGACCCAAUAACUUGCGUCAGGAAACCAGAACGAUGGCAGUUGUGAACCGUUGUGCAGUGCAGAUCUCGACAAAAUAAUUACCGCGAAAUAAUGAAUGAAGAUCAAAGACCUCAAAAAACAAAGAAGACUGAAAACCACAAACCAUCCACAAGUCGUGAAAGAUGGCAAAGUACACAGCUAAUCACAGUAGCGCAUUUAUAUGUCGCAGAGACGAGAUGGCGGCGGCCGGCGGAGCAUACCUUGGAGACGUAGUGCGUUCCUUGCCCACGUUGGUGUGGUACUGUGGCGCCUUAAACCCUACUACUAAGCAGAGGGUUUUAUGGAGGCGCAGGGGUGAUGCGAUAUGGCAAGCUCGACUCUACCGGGUUCGGUUGGUUGCGCAAGGCUGAUCCAGUCCCUUUUUUUUUUACCAAAACAGAAAAAGGAAAAAGGCCCCAAAAGUGGAGACGUAAGGCCAUACAGGAAGGCAUAUCCUAUUUGGCGCCUCACGAGCCCGCUCCUACUGUUUUUGCAAACGCGCGCUCACUCGCGCACGUCUAGUUGGGCUCGACACAUAUUUCCUUUUCUUUUCUGUUGUUAUUAAAACCAAAAAACUGCAUUAAGAGUAUCUCCAACGCGCCGACCCAAACGGACACCUAUGUCCGCUUUCGUGUUUGAAUCGACGCAUGCGCCCAACGCUUGCCGACCCAUUUUAUAGGUCGCGCGAAAAAAAUAGAACACACAUAUUUAGAAAAUAAAAAAACAUUAAUUAAACAUUAAUGCCGGCCACAAAGGCCGGCUAGAGUCCACGCGUCCAUAUUUACAUUAACUAAAUUUACGAAGCGGCGCGCUGCCAUAGGCAUCCUCGUCGUCGUCGUCGGGGCCGGUAAGGCCGAUCAACAUCGGCGCCGGGCGAGCCCAAGGGAACGCCAUCUCCCAGGCUGUGGUGACGUCCUCCGCCGCCGGCUGGGGUGCCCCGCCCCGGGCACGGCGCUCCUCUUCCUCGGCCUCGCGGCGCUCCUCCUCGGCGCCGCGCUCCAGCUGCUCGAGGUACUCAUCCUUGCGGCGCUCCUCGGGCAGCCGGCGCUGGUGCCAUUGCUCGAGGUAGGCGCGCUCCUGCGUCUCCCUCGCCCUCAUCCAGUCCAGUGGUGCGUUGACCCACUCGCGCACCAUCCCGACCCAGGAGUAGCGCUCGAUGGGGGUCGGCUCCGGCUCGGCCUUCACCGGGGACGGCGAGGCCAGCGGCGGCACGCUAUAGUCACCGGCCGCGGACAACGCCAUGACCUCCGCCAUGCGCGCGUGGUAAUCCGCCUCCUCCCUGCGCCGCUCCUCCUCCUCGCUCUUCCGGAGGACAGACACCGAGAAGGCGCGCGAGACGCCCGCUUCGCGUUCGUGCCGAUGCAUUUCUGUCGCAAAUGGGUCCGUGUGGACGCGUUUUGCGAAUGAGUCAGCGCGUUGGGCCUUCACUUUUGUCCGCACCGAUCCAAACGGACUACGGCGGACAAAAUGGGUACGUGCGAUUGGAGUUGCUCUUACCAGCCCCACCAUCCUCACCAUAUGUGCUCACUUAUAUAUUCUUCAUUCUUUUCUUCUUACAUGUUUUCUUUUUUCUAUUUAUUUUUUAUUUUUUCUUAUUUUAUUCGGAAUGGGUGUGUUCAGUUUUUAUCCCUUUUCCUUUUUUUUGGUAAAUUGAAUGAUUUUUUUAAAAAUAUAUUUUUUUCAAAAUCUAUGAAACUUUUUUUUCAAAUUGAUAAACUUUUUUCAAAAUCGAUGAAUUUUUUUUAAAUUAAAGAAUUUUUUUCAAAUUUGAUGAACUUUUUUCAACUUUGAUGAACUUCUUAAAAUUCAAUUUUUUUUCAAAUUCGAUGAACUUUUUAUCAAAAUUCAUGAACUUUCCUAAAAUCCGAUGAACUUUUUUUUUU
rnacentral:lncRNA from 1 species